CCUACGGGGGGCAGCAGUGGGGAAUAUUGCACGAUGGGGGAAACCCUGAUGCAGCAACGCCGCGUGAGUGAAGAAGUAUUUCGGUAUGUAAAGCUCUAUCAGCAGGGAAGAAAAUGACGGUACCUGAGUAAGAAGCCCCGGCUAACUACGUGCCAGCAGCCGCGGUAAUACGGAGGAUGCGAGCGUUAUCCGGAUUUAUUGGGUUUAAAGGGUGCGUAGGCGGAUUUUUAAGUCAGCGGUAAAAUGUCCGGGCUCAACCCGGGCCGGCCGUUGCAACUGGGGAUCUUGAGUGGGCGAGGAGUAUG
rnacentral:rRNA from 1 species